rnacentral:rRNA from 1 species
GACGAACGCUGGCGGCGUGCUUAACACAUGCAAGUCGAACGGAAAGGCCCUGCUUUUGUGGGGUGCUCGAGUGGCGAACGGGUGAGUAACACGUGAGUAACCUGCCCUUGACUUUGGGAUAACUUCAGGAAACUGGGGCUAAUACCGGAUAGGAGCUCCUGCUGCAUGGUGGGGGUUGGAAAGUUUCGGCGGUUGGGGAUGGACUCGCGGCUUAUCAGCUUGUUGGUGGGGUAGUGGCUUACCAAGGCUUUGAUGGGUAGCCGGCCUGAGAGGGUGACUGGCCACAUUGGGACUGAGAUACGGCCCAGACUCCUACGGGAGGCAGCAGUGGGGAAUAUUGCACAAUGGGCGGAAGCCUGAUGCAGCAACGCCGCGUGCGGGAUGACGGCCUUCGGGUUGUAAACCGCUUUCGCCUGUGACGAAGCGUGAGUGACGGUAAUGGGUAAAGAAGCACCGGCUAACUACGUG